UCUAAUUCCCGAUCCUUCUUUCCCCAACAGAGCCCAAAACUUCCAGUCUUCCUAAGCAAACUCAGGAAUAAGUAAUAAGCAAUAAACUUGAUGGGGCUGAGUCCUCCGCAAGCAAAUGCUUAAUCUUAAUGGAAACAAAGCUAGAAGCCGGACAUUAAAACAUGUUAAGUUCCUGCUUAGUGGAGAAACGGUUUCCUCUCUGCUCAAGAUGUGGCAAAAAGUCUCCUUAAAUGUGCACAGACAGGAUUGCCAUGCCCUUCUGCUCUGACUGCUGUGGCUUGAGGUUCCGCCCUCUCCCCUUGCUAAUGAAAAUAUGGCUGCAGUCUCCUGGGGCCUCUGGCUGUGUCAGCCAUCUUCCUCAACACCGCUAAUGAAUUCCUGGUGCCACACACAAUUAAGUUUCAAAAGCUGACUGAGCAGGGUGGCCACCUGCUGGCUUCGCCCAAGUAGCAACUACGACCUACCUACCCGUUUUGAGGCUUGGCCACACAGCUCUUAAAUCCUCUCGGGGUAAAUCCUAGUCCUGCUGGACUUGCUUUUCCUGCUGUCUAGUUAAGCACACCCUCCAGUGAGUACAGUCUGGUGUUAUCCAGCGGCUAACUCCCUCCUCAGGGCUGUGUGCAGGCGUGUGCUUUAAUUCCAGCACUAGCUAUCCCAUUCAACUGGAAUUUUAUCGAGACACAUGCCUGUGAAAUGGUUCCGAUUGGCUUAACUGGACAAUCACAGCGGGGUGCACACUUGGUGGCAGAGGGCUCUGGCUCCUGCCUAAUUCCAAGCAUCUUAGCACACGUUGGUAACUUCAGUGACGAUGACGACGAUCACCCCCACAAGUCCCAGACUCCAGGUUUCUAUGAAGGGCUACGCACCUAUCUGACUAGAACCACUGCUGAGCAUCUGUUGUUUUGUUUUCAGAGCUGGAGAAUGGACUCAGCACCUUAGACGGGGUAGGCAAAUGGUCUCCUACUAAGACUGGUCCGAGCUCUUGACUUUCUGAGACAAGCCUGGAGAAACAGCUGCUGGUCUCCUGGGAGAGAGUCUUCACAAGUCUUCCUUCUGCCAAUGGUUUCCGUGGCUUCUAGUACUACCAUAGCAACACACCAGUCCCUCACCACGACCAAAGGCAGAGCUGCUUGCUGCACAGCCAGUUGCUUACAUUGUGGUAGUGUUUAGGAAGAAGAUGCUGGCCAGGUUCCACCGUGAGAACGCCUGUGUUAAUGAGGCCUUUCCUCGUCAUAAAGUAAAGAAUCCUCUCUACUUCCUGGACACAUCGAAUGCGCACAAGGCCCCGGACGAUGAUGUGGGGAAUGCACUUCUGAGGAGUAAGAGCUUCCUGUGUUUACAACGAAACCAAAACCAAGAGCAAGAAAGUAAGUCACCCAAUUUAAAAACAAACAAAAAUCUAAAAGACAAAAACUAGGGCUAAAAGUUUAUUUUUACAUUUUGUUGUUGAGAGAGGGUCCCAUUUUGUAGCUCUAGCUGGCCUGGAACUCAUUAUGUAGACCAGGCUGGCCUUGAACUCCCAGAGAUCUGCUGGCCUCUGCCUCCUUAGGGCUGGGAUUUAAAGGUGUGUGUCAGAUGGCUGGCUAGUUGGCUUUCUUUAAACCUAGCAUUCCUGCUCCCCCCCGCUUCCGGUUUACCUUCCGUCUUUUUAAGCAGAUGCUAUGUCGAUGCCCUAAAUAUUUAUGCAGUCCUACAGAGUUAAAAGCACUGAGCUUGCCUGGCUAGGGACAGAGCUGAACAGAAACCUUUGCUCUGGGGCUUAUAAUCCCCUUUUGAUUGCUUUCUGCCGUCCUGGCAACACCCAUAUGGCUCUUUGAACCAAGCCUUGCACCUUCUCAUGUACUGUCUCAUUCUGACUCCGUAUGGGCCAAAGCUGUUCUCAACAGGGGCUGACCCUGUCUCCACUUGAAAAUGCCUAGACUCAUACAGAUGAAGCAUCUCUAAUUAGAGAACAUGCAAUCUGAAAUCUUCCAGAUUCUGUGUGCAAACAGAAUACUUAAAAGUUUCAGAUCUCAGAGCAUUUGAAGGCUUUCUGGACUGGGAUGCACAGCUGGGGAAGCCUAUUCAAGUACUCUGAAUUUUUUUUUUUUUUUUUUUAUUUCAAAAGCUGAGGUCACUUCUGGUCCCAAGUGUUUCAGAUAAGAAGUUGUCAACAUGUAUGCAACUGUCAACAUGGAAGUGGUACUUGAGUCUCCAGAGCAGAGGCCAGGGAUACAGCCAAUAUACUACUCUGUGUACAGAAGAGCCUUCCCGCACCCGCACCCCUGAAGCACCCCUUUCCUUCACUGCCGCCCUCUCCUCCCAUGCUGCUGCAGGGCAUGCCCUCACUUACUUUGCAGUUUGUGUACCACAGAGCGAGGAUGAGGUUUCUCAAAGCUAGGUACAUGGUGGGGUCUCGGGAAUACUCUGGAAACUCAUAAAGCUCAUCCAGCUCCAUCACAUCGGGCCUCACACACAGGGCUUUGCCACACUCAUUGGGCUGGUAGAAGGGCUGGAAGUAGCGGUUCAUGCCUAGAACUGACAGGUGACAACCAAGCAGCUUCUGUAAGCUAUCACUUUCCAAUCUGCAGGAAGCAUGUGUACACACACACACACACAUACACACACACAGGGGCUGGCGAUAUGGUUCAGUGAGUCAAGAUUCUCGCAACCACGCCUGAUGACCUUGGUUCGGUCUCCAUGAAGGAGAGAACCACUUUCCUGAAGCUGUCCUCUGACCUCCCAUAUGUGCUGUGGCACACACACACAAAUGUAAUUUUUAGAUUUAAAAAGAACAAAAAAAUGCACCACUUUCAGAUUAUAAAGUGGAAUCCCUAAGCACUGAUAAUGUCCCAUGCUAGGCUAUGUUCCAGGAUCCAGAGUGUCCUAUUAUUAACAUACUAGAUGCUAGUUUUAUAAAGCUGGGCAAAUGCUAUGAAGGUGUUGUUUUCAAACCCACUUCUAAAUGUUUUCCCAUGUCAUUAAAUGUAACUUUGGUG